rnacentral:rRNA from 1 species
GAUGAACGCUAGCGGCAGGCCUAAUACAUGCAAGUCGAACGGUGGUAGCGAUACCAUAGUGGCGCACGGGUGCGUAACACGUAUGCAACCUACCUUAUACUUAGGGAUAGCCUCUGGAAACGGAGAUUAAUACCUAAUAGUACAUUGACUUGGCAUCGGGUUAAUGUUAAAGAUUUAUUGGUAUAAGAUGGGCAUGCGUCCAAUUAGUUAGUUGGUGAGGUAACGGCUCACCAAGACGAUGAUUGGUAGGGGAACUGAGGGGUUAAUCCCCCACACUGGCACUGAGAUACGGGCCAGACUCCUACGGGAGGCAGCAGUAGGGAAUAUUGGGCAAUGGAGGCAACUCUGACCCAGCCAUGCCGCGUGCAGGAUGAAGGCGUUAUGCGUUGUAAACUGCUUUUAUAUAGGAAGAAACAGACCUUGCGAGGUAGAUUGACGGUACUAUAUGAAUAAGCACCGGCUAACUCCGUGCCAGCCGCCGCAGUAAUAC